rnacentral:misc_RNA from 1 species
UCUCCGUUGGUGAACCAGCGGAGGGAUCAUUACCGAGUGCAAACUCAUAACCCUUUGUGAACCUAUAUCUGUUGCUUCGGCGGCUCGCUCUCGGGCGAGCCCGCCGGUAAUAUCAGUAUCUCUGUUUGAACCCGACGAUACUUCUGAGUGUUCUUAGCGAACAGUUAAAACUUUUAACAACGGAUCUCUUGGCUCUAGCAUCGGUGAAGAACGCAGC